rnacentral:rRNA from 1 species
UGGAUUGCACGUCUAAGCAGUAAGGCUGAGUAUUAGGCAAAUCCGGUACUCGUUAAGGCUGAGCUGUGAUGGGGAGAAGACAUUGAGUCUUCGAGUCGUUGAUUUCACACUGCCGAGAAAAGCCUCUAGAUAGAAAAUAGGUGCCCGUACCGCAAACCGACACAGGUAGUCAAGAUGAGAAUUCUAAGGUGAGCGAGCGAACUCUCGUUAAGGAACUCGGCAAAAUGACCCCGUAACUUCGGGAGAAGGGGUGCUCUUUAGGGUUAACGCCCAGAAGAGCCGCAGUGAAUAGGCCCAAGCGACUGUUUAUCAAAAACACAGGUCUCUGCUAAACCGUAAGGUGAUGUAUAGGGGCUGACGCCUGCCCGGUGCUGGAAGGUUAAGAGGAGUGGUUAGCUUCUGCGAAGCUACGAAUCGAAGCCCCAGUAAACGGCGGCCGUAACUAUAACGGUCCUAAGGUAGCGAAAUUCCUUGUCGGGUAAGUUCCGACCCGCACGAAAGGCGUAACGAUUUGGGCACUGUCUCAACGAGAGACUCGGUGAAAUCAUAGUACCUGUGAAGAUGCAGGUUACCCGCGACAGGACGGAAAGACCCCGUGGAGCUUUACUGUAGCCUGAUAUUGAAAUUCGGCACAGCUUGUACAGGAUAGGUAGGAGCCUUUGAAACGUGAGCGCUAGCUUACGUGGAGGCGCUGGUGGGAUACUACCCUAGCUGUGUUGGCUUUCUAACCCGCACCACUUA